rnacentral:tRNA from 1 species
UAGAGCGCACCCCUGAUAAGGGUGAGGUCGGUGGUUCAAAUCCACCCAGACCCACCA